rnacentral:rRNA from 1 species
GAUGAACGCUGGCGGCGUGCCUAAUACAUGCAAGUCGAGCGAACGGACGAGAAGCUUGCUUCUCUGAUGUUAGCGGCGGACGGGUGAGCAACACGUGGAUAACCUACCUAUAAGACUGGGAUAACUUCGGGAAACCGGAGCUAAUACCGGAUAAUAUUUUGAACCGCAUGGUUCAAAAGUGAAAGACGGUCUUGCUGUCACUUAUAGAUGGAUCCGCGCUGCAUUAGCUAGUUGGUAAGGUAACGGCUUACCAAGGCAACGAUGCAUAGCCGACCUGAGAGGGUGAUCGGCCACACUGGAACUGAGACACGGUCCAGACUCCUACGGGAGGCAGCAGUAGGGAAUCUUCCGCAAUAGGCGAAAGCCUGACGGAGCAACGCCGCGUGAGUGAUGAAGGUCUUCGGAUCGUAAAACUCUGUUAUUAGGGAAGAACAUAUGUGUAAGUAACUGUGCACAUCUUGACGGUACCUAAUCAGAAAGCCACGGCCAACUACGUGCCAGCAGCCGCGGUAAUACGUAGGUGGCAAGCGUUAUCCGGAAUUAUUGGGCGUAAAGCGCGCGUAGGCGGUUUUUUAAGUCUGAUGUGAAAGCCCACGGCUCAACCGUGGAGGGUCAUUGGAAACUGGAAAACUUGAGUGCAGAAGAGGAAAGUGGAAUUCCAUGUGUAGCGGUGAAAUGCGCAGAGAUAUGGAGGAACACCAGUGGCGAAGGCGACUUUCUGGUCUGUAACUGACGCUGAUGUGCGAAAGCGUGGGGAUCAAACAGGAUUAGAUACCCUGGUAGUCCACGCCGUAAACGAUGAGUGCUAAGUGUUAGGGGGUUUCCGCCCCUUAGUGCUGCAGCUAACGCAUUAAGCACUCCGCCUGGGGAGUACGACCGCAAGGUUGAAACUCAAAGGAAUUGACGGGGACCCGCACAAGCGGUGGAGCAUGUGGUUUAAUUCGAAGCAACGCGAAGAACCUUACCAAAUCUUGACAUCCUUUGACAACUCUAGAGAUAGAGCCUUCCCCUUCGGGGGACAAAGUGACAGGUGGUGCAUGGUUGUCGUCAGCUCGUGUCGUGAGAUGUUGGGUUAAGUCCCGCAACGAGCGCAACCCUUAAGCUUAGUUGCCAUCAUUAAGGUGGGCACUCUAAGUUGACUGCCGGUGACAAACCGGAGGAAGGUGGGGAUGACGUCAAAUCAUCAUGCCCCUUAUGAUUUGGGCUACACACGUGCUACAAUGGACAAUACAAAGGGCAGCGAAACCGCGAGGUCAAGCAAAUCCCAUAAAGUUGUUCUCAGUUCGGAUUGUAGUCUGCAACUCGACUACACGAAGCUGGAAUCGCUAGUAAUCGUAGAUCAGCAUGCUACGGUGAAUACGUUCCCGGCUCU